UACGUAGGGUGCGAGCGUUAAUCGGAAUUACUGGGCGUAAAGCGUGCGCAGGCGGUUAUGUAAGACAGUUGUGAAAUCCCCGGGCUCAACCUGGGAAUUGCAUCUGUGACUGCAUAGCUAGAGUACGGUAGAGGGGGAUGGAAUUCCGCGUGUAGCAGUGAAAUGCGUAGAUAUGCGGAGGAACACCGAUGGCGAAGGCAAUCCCCUGGGCCUGCACUGACGCUCAUGCACGAAAGCGUGGGGAGCAAACAGG
rnacentral:rRNA from 1 species